GACGAACGCUGGCGGCGUGCUUAACACAUGCAAGUCGAACGGUGAGGCCCUGCUUUUGUGGGGUGCUCGAGUGGCGAACGGGUGAGUAACACGUGAGUAACCUGCCCUUUACUUUGGGAUAACUUUAGGAAACUGGGGCUAAUACCGGAUAAGAGCUCCUGCUGCAUGGUGGGGGUUGGAAAGUUUCGGCGGCUGGGGAAGGACGGGCGGCUAAUGUGCUUGUUGGUGGGGGUGUGGAUUACCCAGGCUUUGGCGGGUAGCCGGCCUGAGAGGGUGACCGGGCACAGUGGGACUGAGAUAGGAGCCAGACUGCUUCGGGAGGCAGCAGUGGGGAAUAGUGCACGAUGGGCGGAAGGAGGAUGGAGGAACGCCGCGUGGUGGAGGACGGCCGUCGGGUUGUAAAGCGUGUGCGCCUGUGACGAAGCGUGAGUGACGGUAAUGGGUAAAGAAGCGCCGGCUAACUACGUG
rnacentral:rRNA from 1 species